GCUGGGCAUGGUGGUGCAUGCCUGUAAUCCCAGCUACCUGGGAGGCUGAGUCAGGAGAAUCGCUUGAACCCAGGAGGUAGAGGUUGCAGUGAGCCAAGAUCGUGCCACUGCACUCUAGCCUGGGUGACAGAGUAAGACUCUGUCUCAA
rfam:Nomascus leucogenys chromosome 17, whole genome shotgun sequence.